GUGAGUCAUCGAAUCUUUGAACGCAUCUUGCGCUCCUUGGUAUUCCGAGGAGCAUGCCUGUUUGAGUGUCAUUAUAUUCUCAACUCUCCAAUACUUUGUUGUAAAGGAGAGCUUGGAUUGUGGAGGUUUGCUGGCUCCUUACUUGGGGUCAGCUCCUCUGAAAUGCAUUAGCGGAAUCGUCUGCGAUCUGCCACAAGUGUGAUAACUUAUCUACACUGGCGAGGGGAUUGCUUUCUGAUGUUCAGCUUCUAAUCGUCUAAGGACAAUUUCUUGAAUGCUUGACCUCAAAUCAGGUAGGAC
rnacentral:misc_RNA from 1 species